rnacentral:rRNA from 1 species
ACGAACGCUGGCGGCGUGCUUAACACAUGCAAGUCGAACGGAAAGGCCCUGCUUUUGUGGGGUGCUCGAGUGGCGAACGGGUGAGUAACACGUGAGUAACCUGCCCUUGACUUUGGGAUAACUUCAGGAAACUGGGGCUAAUACCGGAUAGGAGCUCCUGCUGCAUGGUGGGGGUUGGAAAGUUUCGGCGGUUGGGGAUGGACUCGCGGCUUAUCAGCUUGUUGGUGGGGUAGUGGCUUACCAAGGCUUUGACGGGUAGCCGGCCUGAGAGGGUGACCGGCCACUUUGGGACUGAGAUACGGCCCAGACUCCUACGGGAGGCAGCAGUGGGGAAUAUUGCACAAUGGGCGGAAGCCUGAUGCAGCAACGCCGCGUGCGGGAUGACGGCCUUCGGGUUGUAAACCGCUUUCGCCUGUGACGAAGCGUGAGUGACGGUAAUGGGUAAAGAAGCACCGGCUAACUACGUG